CACAAUUGCAUAUUUGAAUCAAAUUUGAAUUCCAAAAAGGCUUUAAAAAGGUUUUAUUUCAUUUUAAACCUUAGAUUUUUCACCCAUUUGAGUUUUGACUUUAAAACCCAUAGGGUUUAUUUGUAAAAGGGGUUUAUUGCAUAUAUGAGCUAUCCCAUAAUUUUUAAUAUUUUAUUUGGAGUUGAAAAACUAUUUUAUUUAAUUAGCUAUAAAGCCCUAAAGGCAUUUAUAGGACAAAUGUAUUUUUACAUAUUUUAUUUGGAAGGGAAAUUAGUCCCAAAAGUUGAAUCAUAUUAUAAUAUGAUUUAACAAAUUUUCUGGGAUUUAUUUGGAUCAAUUUGGAGUUCAAAAUCAAAAGAUAUCAAAGAAAUCAGGAAAAGGAAAAAAAAGAAAAGAAAAAAAAGGGAAACUGGACCGGCCC
rnacentral:lncRNA from 1 species